rnacentral:rRNA from 1 species
AUAACCCUCCGAAAGGAGAGCUAAUACAGCAUGAGACCACGGCUUCGUUGAAGCUGCGGCCAAAGCAGGCCUCUACACGUAAGCUUGCGCUUGAGGAUGAGUCUGCGGCCCAUCAGCUAGUUGGUAGGGUAAUGGCCUACCAAGGCUAAGACGGGUAGCUGGUCUGAGAGGAUGAACAGCCACACUGGAACUGAGACACGGUCCAG